UACGUAGGGUGCAAGCGUUGUCCGGAUUUAUUGGGCGUAAAGAGCGUGUAGGCGGCCAGGUAGGUCUGGUGUGAAAACUCGAGGCUUAACCUUGAGAUGUCAUCGGAAACCAUUUGGCUAGAGUCCGGAAGAGGAAAGUGGAAUUCCUGGUGUAGCGGUGAAAUGCGCAGAUAUCAGGAAGAACACCAAUGGCGAAAGCAGCUUUCUGGGACGGUACUGACGCUGGAGAACGCGAAAGCGUGGGGAGCGAACAGG
rnacentral:rRNA from 1 species